ensembl:lincRNA C230014O12Rik RIKEN cDNA C230014O12 gene
UUCAGCAAUAAGCCCGCGCGUGGCGCCCGGCCCAGAAAGGUACAAUAACUGUAUAUUUUAACUUAAUGGUUUUUUGGGGGGCAUGCAAAUUUCUGUGAGCAGAUUGUGUUGAGGCCUGGGCUUGGAGCGGCCUCCCUGAGCCCCAGAAGCCCCCCGGAGCACCCCCGGCUCAGUGAAGGUUGCCCGUGUCAAAAUCGAGAUAUCAAACACCGAGGCUGAAAGACAAGGUAGGAGGCAAGCUGAGGUCCAGAGAUGGCAUGACAGCCUGGAGCUCCACAGGGGCCAGCCUUGGGCAAGAUCCUGUGGAGCCUGAAUCCAAACUCAGCCCAAGAUAUUACUUCUGCUCUGGCUGAUUCCAUUUUCCUGCUCAGGGUCAACUCAUACAUCCAUCUUGCAAGGACCUCGUAGGACUCUGUGGUCAGGAAGCCACUUGGGGAGGACCCUCAGAUGAUGUUUUCUGGGGACAGUGAUAUUGGAACCUGUCUUCCCUCCCACCUCAGUGAGCCCUUGGGGAUGUCCAGCUCCAGGAGACAAGGUUAAGGAGGCCAGCAAAAUGGUGGCUUCUUCCCUUCUCACCCUGUUAUUCU